rfam:Pan troglodytes isolate Yerkes chimp pedigree #C0471 (Clint) chromosome 10, whole genome shotgun sequence.
GCCAGGCAUGGUGGUGUGUGCCUGUAGUCCCAGCUACUUGGGAGGCAGAGGCAGGAGAAUCGCUUGAACCCAGGAGGUGGAGGUUGCAGUGAGCCAAAAUCAUGCCACUAUCCUCCAGCCUGGGUGACAGGGUGAGACUCUGUCUCAA